rnacentral:rRNA from 1 species
UACGGAGGGGACUAGCGUUGUUCGGAAUUACUGGGCGUAAAGCGCACGUAGGCGGAUUUGUAAGUCAGGGGUGAAAUCCCGAGGCUCAACCUCGGAACUGCCUUUGAUACUGCAAAUCUCGAGUCCGGAAGAGGUGAGUGGAAUUCCUAGUGUAGAGGUGACAUUCGUAGAUAUUAGGAAGAACACCAGUGGCGAAGGCGGCUCACUGGUCCGGUACUGACGCUGAGGUGCGAAAGCGUGGGGAGCAAACAGG